AUUCACUGCAGUAUAACACAAGUUAAAAAUAAAAACAAUAGAAUGUCCUAGAAAAUGCCCAAAUUUAAAAAGUAUUAGGUAAACAAUUUAUUCAAAGGAAUAAUGUGUAACAUUGUAUAUGAUAAACCUGAGUUCUAUAGGAAAGGGGUGAGCAAACUAAAAUUGGAGAAGACUGCCUAUUUCUAUAAAUAUAGUUUUACUGGAGAACAGCAUGCCCAUUCAUUUAUACAUUGUCUAUGGCUACUUUUGUGCCACAAUGGCAGAGAUUUCAUACUUUAUAAAUAUUGUACAGAUUACUCAUAAAUCUUACAGGUUCAAGAGAACACAGAAAUGAUAUAGUCUUGGGGGACAAAAAAAAGACCUAAGGAAGUGGUGGAACUAGAACUAAGCAUCCUACCCAAUGCCAUCCUCCACUUCUUCCUACAAUUUGUCUUCUCACGAAGAGCCAGAGAGGUAAACAAUUACUAAAAUCACUGACGGGAGAUACCCAGAAAUGACAGAAAAGGCUUUUUUUUAAACCCAAAGGGCUUCCACCUAUAUUAUUUGAGCCUCACGAUAAUCUCUUUGGGAUAAAAUUUCUUUCUAAUGAAGAAAAGGUGACUCUGCAAAAUUAAAUGGAGAGGAAAGGAUUCAAAUACAGGUUUACAUGUUACAAAGGUCAUUGCUUUAUCCAUUGUAUUCUCUAAAAAAAAAAAGGUGCAGAGAAUUAACUGACUCAUGAGUCACGUUCAAAUUGUUGCCCAAGGCCUUUAAAGGGCUGCCUAAAAUUUCUAGCAGUCCUCAUAGGUGUUCUCCCAUUCUUCAGGUACCUAUGUUGCCUUGGCUCUUUCAGUCUUUUUACCAUGCCUGCCUAGGGUUUUUGACGCAGAACAGAAAGAAAGAAUAAUGCCUUCAGGCCUAGACUGCCUAGACUGCUCUGCCACUGAUUGGCUGUGUGAUCCUGAGCAAGUCACGUUCCUCUCUGUACUUUCAGUUUCCUCAUCUUUAAAACAGGAGCAAUGGCCAGGUACAGUGGCUCAUGCCUUUAAUCCCAGCACUUUGGAACGCCGAGGUUGGGGGAAUCACUUGAGGCCAGGUGUUUUGAGGUUACAGUGAGCAAUGAUCCAGCCACUGAACUCCGGCCUGG
rnacentral:lncRNA from 10 species